rnacentral:lncRNA from 1 species
CGGGCCUCAGGGCUCAGGAGGCCGUGAUGAAGCCAGCAGGUGAACUGCACCCUGGAGCCUCCGACGGGGCGGCCACGGGCAGCGAAGAACCCGGAAAAACAGUACCCUUCUGAGGUUAAUCCGCGUUGAUAGAAGCAGGUGUGGUUCAUCUGGAAUCUGUUGGUGUGAACUGCGCGGCGGCGUCCCCCACCAGGCACCACAGGUGAUUCAUUCGUUUCCCUGAAAAGGCGCCUGGAUGCUGUUUCUAGCUCCCGUUAUCCCCAG